rnacentral:rRNA from 1 species
GUAGCCGGCCGGAUAAGUCUCUUGGGAAAUCUGGCAGCUUAACUGUCAGGCUUUCAGGAGAUACUGUCUGGCUCGAGGCCGGGAGAGGUGAGAGGUACUUCAGGGGUAGGGGUGAAAUCUUGUAAUCCUUGAAGGACCACCAGUGGCGAAGGCGUCUCACCAGAACGGACCUGACGGCAAGGGACGAAAGCUAGGGGCACGAACCGGAUUAGAUACCCGGGUAGUCCUAGCCGUAAACAGAUACUCGCUAGGUGUCGGCAACGGUGCGACCGUUGUCGGUGCCGUA